UCUGGUGACCAGAGCGCGGUGGAACCACCCGGUCCCAUUCCGAACCCGGAAGUGAAACGCCGCAGCGCCGAUGGUAGUGAGACGAUAGGUCUUGUGAGAGUAGGUCGUCGCCAGGU
rnacentral:rRNA from 2 species